rnacentral:tRNA from 1 species
GCGCCCGUAGCUCAACUGGAUAGAGUAACUGACUUCGGAUCAGUAGGUUGCAGGUUCGACCCCUGCCGGGCGCACCA